GACGAACGCUGGCGGCGUGCUUAACACAUGCAAGUCGAACGGAAAGGCCUUUUCGGAGGUACUCGAGUGGCGAACGGGUGAGUAACACGUGGGUGAUCUGCCCUGCACUCUGGGAUAAGCCUGGGAAACUGGGUCUAAUACCGGAUAGGACCGCACUUUAGUGUGUGUGGUGGAAAGUUUUUUCGGUGUAGGAUGAGCCCGCGGCCUAUCAGCUUGUUGGUGGGGUAAUGGCCUACCAAGGCGGCGACGGGUAGCCGGACUGGGAGGUUGGUCGGCCACAUUGGGGCUGAGAUACGGCCCAGACUCCUACGGGGGGCAGCAGGGGGGAAUAUUGCACAAUGGGCGCAAGCCUGAUGCAGCGACGCCGCGUGGGGGAUGACGGCCUUCGGGUUGGAAACUCCUUUCGCCAGGGACGAAGCGUUUUGUGACGGUACCUGGAGAAGAAGCACCGGCUAACUACGUG
rnacentral:rRNA from 1 species